AGUGAACGCUGGCGGUAGGCCUAACACAUGCAAGUCGAACGAGUGGCGGACGGGUGAGGAAUACAUCGGAAUCGACUCUGUCGUGGGGGAUAACGUAGGGAAACUUACGCUAAUACCGCAUAAGAGUGAAUGAGCCGGGGUCGAAUUAGCUAGUUGGCGGGGUAAAGGCCCACAAGGGCGACGAUCCGUAGCAGGUCUGAGAGGAUGAUCAGCCACACUGGAACUGAGACACGGUCCAGACGCCUACGGGAGGCAGCAUUGGGGAAUAUUGGACAAUGGGCGCAAGCCUGAUCCAGCCAUACCGCGUGGGUGAAGAAGGCCUUCGGGUUGUAAAGCCCUUUUGUUGGGAAAGCGGUACCCAAAGAAUAAGCACCGGCUAACUUCGUGCCAGCAGCCGCGGUAAUUC
rnacentral:rRNA from 1 species